rnacentral:rRNA from 1 species
ACGGGACUCUUCGGAGUUCAGUGGCGGACGGGUGAGUAACGCGUGAGAAUCUGCCUAGAGGAUGGGGACAACCACGGGAAACUGUGGCUAAUACCCAAUGAGCGGAGACGUUAAAGAUUUAUCGCCUCUAGAGGAGCUCGCGUCUGAUUAGCUAGUUGGUGGGGUAAAAGCCUACCAAGGCGACGAUCAGUAGCUGGUCUGAGAGGACAACCAGCCACACUGGGACUGAGACACGGCCCAGACUCCUACGGGAGGCAGCAGUGGGGAAUUUUCCGCAAUGGGCGAAAGCCUGACGGAGCAAUACCGCGUGAGGGAGGAAGGCUCUUGGGUCGUAAACCUCUUUUCUCAGGGAAGAAGAAAGUGACGGUACCUGAGGAAUCAGCCUCGGCUAACUCCGUGCCAGCAGCCGCGGUAAUACGGAGGAGGCAAGCGUUAUCCGGAAUUAUUGGGCGUAAAGCGUCCGUAGGUGGCUCUUCAAGUCUGCUGUCAAAGAGUGGGGCUUAACUCCAGAAAGGCAGUGGAAACUGAAAGGCUAGAGAGCCGUAGGGGUAGAGGGAAUUCCCGGUGUAGCGGUGAAAUGCGUAGAGAUCGGGAAGAACAUCGGUGGCGAAAGCGCUCUACUGGACGGUAUCUGACACUGAGGGACGAAAGCUAGGGGAGCGAAUGGGAUUAGAUACCCCAGUAGUCCUAGCCGUAAACGAUGGAUACUAGGCG